AGCAAUGUUCAGUUUGUUUUUAAAACGUGGUCUUUUUAUGUCACACAUAAUUAAAAUGAAUUGCUGUUUGAGAACCAUACAACUGCAUACAGAUUUAUGAAUCUUGAGGCACCUCCAUUCAGAUACAAACAAUGAUAUCAGAAAGUGUGAGCAGAUAAGCAGCAUGAGGACGGAAGUGACAGCCUUUGUACAUGGAGAAAUGAGAAUGUAUUCUCAGACAAAUCUUGACCUGAGGGAGAAGGCUGCGGGAAUCUGGAUUUUCAAUAACAUAAGACAAUAAAGCUCAGACUUCUAACCUGCUGCAAUAUGGUAAAAGUAUAAAGAGCUUAGCAACUAAUAAAAGAAAAGGGUCUUCCAACUCAUAUUUGAAGAUCUAGACCCCCAAAAGGACACUUCAUAAAGAUCAUAAUGGGUUA
rnacentral:lncRNA from 1 species